AUCGAAUCUUUGAACGCACCUUGCGCUCCCUGGUAUUCCGGGGAGCAUGCCUGUUUGAGUGUCAUGAAAACCCUCAACCUUAGAUUGGUUAACACCUUUCUUUGGCUUGGAUUUGGACGUUUGCCGAUGAUAAGUCGGCUCGUCUUAAAAGUAAUAGCUGGAUCUGUCUCGCGACAUGGUUUGACUUGGCGUAAUAAGUAUUUCGCUAAGGACAUCUUCGGAUGGCCGCGUUGCAAGACUAAAGACCGCUUUCUAAUCCAUUGAUCUUCGGAUUAAUAUUCUUGACAUCUGGCCUCAAAUCAGGUAGGACUACCCGCUGAACUUAAGCAUAUCAAUAAGCGGAGGA
rnacentral:rRNA from 1 species